rnacentral:rRNA from 1 species
UAAACGACUCUCGGCAACGGAUAUCUCGGCUCAYGCAUCGAUGAAGAACGUAGCGAAAUGCGAUACUUGGUGUGAAUUGCAGAAUCCCGUGAACCAUCGAGUUUUUGAACGCAAGUUGCGCCCGAAGCCAYUCGGCCGAGGGCACGUCUGCCUGGGCGUCACGC